GAUGAACGCUGGCGGCGUGCCUAAUACAUGCAAGUCGAACGCUGAAGGAGGAGCUUGCUCUUCUGGAUGAGUUGCGCACGGGUGAGUAUCGCGUAGGUAACCUGCCUGGUUGCGGGGGAUAACUAUUGGAAACGAUAGCUAAUACCGCAUGACAUCAGUUAUUGCAUGAUAACUGUUUAAAAGGGGCAACUGCUCCACUACCAGAUGGACCUGCGUUGUAUUAGCUAGUUGGUGAGGUAACGGCUCCCCAAGGCGACGAUACAUCGCCGACCUGAGAGGGUGAACGGCCACACUGGGACUGAGACACGGCCCAGGCUCCUACGGGAAGCAGCAGUAGGGAAACUUCGGCAAUGGGCGGAAGGCUGAACGAACAACGCCGGGGGAGUGGAGAAGGGUUUCGGAUCGGAAAGCUCUGUUGUAAGGGAAGAAAGAGUGGGAGAGUGAAAAGUUCACGCUUUGACGGUAUCUAACCAGAAAGGGACGGCUAACUACGUG
rnacentral:rRNA from 1 species